CCGACCUCCUAAAUCCAUCCAUCCAUCUCGUCCCCUUCCCCCUCUUCUCCUCGCCGCCGCACGCACCCGCCGCCUAGAUCCGAGCAGUCCCCUUCCUCCACCGCUCCGUUCGAUCUGCCCAUCCAGAUGGCCGGAGCCGACGCUCCCUCCUCCGCCCUUGGAGCACAUGUCCCGAGCCGCCGGCCACGACAGCUCCUACCUUGGACGGCGGCACAUCCGCAGCGGAUCCACGGCGACGGCGAACCCUAGCCGCCCCUGCUGCUCUCCCUCCUCGUCCUCGUCUCCCCCGAGACGCGUCUUCGCAUCCGGCCGGUGGACACAAGCUUCCUCCUCGACUCCGGCGCAGCGCAGAUUCAAGGUUGAACUGAAAGGUGAACCCCCCCCCUUUAAAGACCAGAUCGGCCAACGUUACUACUCCUUGGGCAACAAGGAUAAGCGGGUGUAUGGCCCUUUGAUUUCCAAAACAGCAGUCUUGCCUUUGUUGAGUGAGAGUAUGAUUCUCUGGACAGCAAGGCCCCAACCAUGACCAUGAUGGCCUGAAAGUACAACAAGGCAUCCUCCGUGGACUAUGUUGCCCUAACUGUGACGGGUCGCCGCCGGUGAACUCUAGCCGUAUUGGGUCCCCGGCUGAGUGCUUCUUACAAGGGCUUCCCGGAGAACUUCAAGAAUAAUAAGACCCAUGGUGGAUUGUGCUGAGUGGAGGCCAAAUAGCAGGGGUGCCCGCCACUAUAUUGCGCUCCCUCCUUGUCUCCUCGCUUGGGAGGCUCUGCUCACCUCGACGCCUGCUUCUCCUGCACCUCCGGCCAUCGCUUUUUCUCCGGUUCCAGCGUAGAGUGGGAUGAAUCCGCACCAAGUUGAUCUUGUUGGGCACCCUCCUAUUCUGAAGCUGCUGGAGAUUUCUGACACCAUUACACAUCUCUGAUCUGGAGAUGUUUGCAUGGCUGACCCGUUGUUGGGACCAGAUUGUUUCAGCUUCUGCCACUGCAGGAGUGGCUUCCCCUGCGCCUAUUCUUCUUUGACUCCGGCGUAGAUAGUCUCGGAUGAAUCUGCGCCAGGGUCGCUAAGAAAAAGACAGGUCCAUGCUCGGCAAGUCGAUCUUUUUGGGUACCCUCCUAUUCUGAAGCAAGUUAAGAUAUCAGACACCAUUGCACAUAUGUGCUUUCGAGAUGUUGGCAUGAAUGAUCUGUUGCUGGGACCAGAUUGUUUUUGCUUCUGCCGAUGCAGGAGCAGCUUCCCCUGCACCUCCGGUGGCAGCUUCUUCUUCAACUCCGGCCUAGUAACUCUGGUGAGCCUAGCAGCGCGGAUGGGGACUAAAGUAAGAUGGUGAUUUAUGACAGCCUACCUUCGUCACCUGGGUUCUUCCUUGUCUUUGACCUGAUGGCGCACCCCAGCAUUGUUUUAAAGGCGUCCGUAUCUCGUCGCUAUAGCGACGAUAUACAGGUGUGAAGGGGGUCAAUCGCCAUACAGACCCAGGCUUGCAAUACCUUUAUGGCGUCGCUAUAUCGUCGCUAUAAUGCUAUAAAGGGGGUCGCUCGCCAUAAAACGCAAUACGCCAUUAAAACAAUGCACCCCAGGCAUUUGCGACUACCAUGCCACCUCCAACUCUAAGCCAUUAUAGUGUGGAAGGACCUCUGGUGAGCAUUGUCAUGUGAAUGGUGACUAAAACAAUUUGUGAGCGAUGACAUGUCAUCCUUCAUCAACUGGGUUCUUCUUUGUUGAUCCGGUGGCACAUCCUAGGAUCUGCGACAACCUCACCAUCACCAAAUCGAAGCCUUUUGUACUGUGGGAGGUGAGGUAUAGAGACUUCUGUGCUUUAGAUUUACUACGUGGAUUAGGAGUUUGAAUCUGCGACUUGGGUUUUGCACGCAAUGAUUUAUGAUAAUAUCGGAUUAAGCAUGACUUUUUGUUGUUAUAUUCUUGGUCUUUAGGGCUUGCUUAUCUUGAUCAUUAUCCAUUGUUGUCUGCGGAUAGUAAUAUCUGUUCUAUUUAGGGUAUGCAUGACACCUCUCCCAUUUAAAAUCAACGUGUUUUCGUACUCGACAAAUACAAAAGAACUCAGUAACGACAAUUUUUCCAGUAGUGUGGGUGAGCUCUCACAUCCCUCUCUUCUCUCUCCUUUGAUAUGUUGCAGAUUUCUUCAAAGUCCAUGACCUCUGUAUGCUGAUUGCGCUCGUGUACUAUAUACUCCAAAUUUCUUCUGCAUCGUGUAUAUGCCAAUUGUUUCCUGUACUGUGUGCACAGCGAUUGUGCCCUAGCACUAAUAUAAAUUUUGGAUUCAUAAUUGCAGCCUGUCAUUAGUUGCCACGAAACUAUAACCAAUGUCACAAUCCUUAUUUAUUCAGGGCAAUGAACUAUUGAAAAACCUAAAACUAGACGCAUUCAGUAUUUGAGAAGGUAAUUCCAUCAUUCAGUAUCACUAUUUGGAGCAGGUGCUACAGUUAUAAUGAAACAGCUGGAUUCUUGUACUUGUGGCCUAUAUACUAUACACUAACUAUUUUAGACACCUGAUACUGAAGCUAAACUAUGAAGUCUCAAAAGAAAAAGAAACAUAACAUUAAGUUGUUCACAAGCAAUGCACAAGGAAACUGGAAAGCACAUAUAUAGAUGAUCGCACACGACUUGGUUUCUCCCUGCAGUCAGGUACUGAAGAAAAGCUCCAACACACGAUGAAAUGGCAGAAAAGAAGAAGCCAACAAUUAACCUUCCCUAAACAGGAGUUCUCAAGAUCCAAUCGAAGUUUCUGAGAUGCAACAUGGAAGACGUCAGAUCCUCACAGAUCUUCCUCUCAAAUCUCAACAACAUGUAUAUAUAACCUCCUUCAGAAACUUACAUUGAUCUAUAGAAAACCCAUCUUGAUCUUUUGUGUUUUGCCAAUACAUACAAUUCUCGCUAAAUUUGAAAAUGCCAUUUUCUUCUCCCGU